rnacentral:rRNA from 1 species
GACGAACGCUGGCGGCGUGCCUAAUACAUGCAAGUUGAGCGCUGAAGGUUGGUACUUGUACCGACUGGAUGAGCAGCGAACGGGUGAGUAACGCGUGGGGAAUCUGCCUUUGAGCGGGGGACAACAUUUGGAAACGAAUGCUAAUACCGCAUAAAAACUUUAAACACAAGUUUUAAGUUUGAAAGAUGCAAUUGCAUCACUCAAAGAUGAUCCCGCGUUGUAUUAGCUAGUUGGUGAGGUAAAGGCUCACCAAGGCGAUGAUACAUAGCCGACCUGAGAGGGUGAUCGGCCAACUUGGGACUGGGACACGGCCCAAACUCCUACGGGAGGCAGCAGUAGGGAAUCUUCGGCAAUGGACGAAAGUCUGACCGAGCAACGCCGCGUGAGUGAAGAAGGUUUUCGGAUCGUAAAACUCUGUUGGUAGAGAAGAACGUUGGUGAGAGUGGAAAGCUCAUCAAGUGACGGUAACUACCCAGAAAGGGACGGCUAACUACGUG